UUCAAACAUAGUCUGUGAAAAAUGGUGUAAUUUGAUUUUUGUCCGGACUAAAAAAGUUAAAUAUUUUAUUGAUCAACCCAACUAUUCGCCUGAUUCAGUUUGUCAUCAAUCAGAUGAUCCAAUUGAUGUAACAUUUUUGAGCAAAUGGCUUCCAAAUUUAAGGAUUGCCGACCUUUUAUACACACGCAAUGGGGAAACACCAAUCGAAGAUAUUAUUAAACUAAUUAGAGACUCAGUAUCUUUGAAAGGAAUAAUCUAUGGUUGUCAUUACUGUAUGGAAUCCUGCUCAUGAUUUCGAGUCGAUACCGGAAAACCCUAACCUCGAAAUGUUAUCUACUGGAUAUAUUGAUCUAAACAUAAAGGAAAUCAAUGAAAAUAUGAAACAAUUGUACCUAUGGGACUCAACUCUAGAUGUAUUCGCAGAAGUCGCACAUCAUUUUCCAAAUCUUGAACGGUUUAAAAUUUAUAAUGGCGAAGGUAACUUCAUUUACAAAAAAUCGAGGAUUUUUUUGCAAAAACUAACAAAAAUUCUAUCAAAUCUCUGGCUCACUAACUUUCUUGCCAAAUCUGGCAACUCCUUAUACUUUAAUACACAAAAACUUAGUUAAUUAGCUAACGGAGUAAUGUUUGCAAAAAAUAAACUUAAAGGCAUGUUUAAUUAUCGUUUAUAAGCCUCGAAUAUUCAUUAAAAGUUGUUAUCUCGAUGUUAUUUUUUCCGACUUCCAAACGCGUUUUUCAUGCCUUAAGUCCGCACUGGGAAAUUUAUGCCUCUGGGGACUUUUACUUGUUUAUAUGUCCUCUAUCGAAUGGCACUAUCAAAUAGCUGGCUCACAAUGGGCAGUUUUACAUAGGCUUUCUG